GACGACGCCAGUACAAUUUAGACGAACAUUAGAAAAUUUCCCAACAGUUUUCGUGUAGCUUUUCCGACGUUAUGACGUGGUUACGGUUGAAGAAAAUUCUUUCUUCUAUAAAAUCUUAAACAAAAAUUAAAUUCUCGAAAUUAUCCGUUUACUACCAACUAAUGGGAAAAUUGUAAAUAACUUAUGCAACAACAUGUUGAAUAAAAUACUCGAAGAGAAGAGAGAGAGAGCUCGCCCAGCAUUUUGAGAAAAAUGAAGAAGUAAAAAAGCUGAAAAUAAUGUUGAACUUACUGGUAAUUGACCAUUAAUUGUUGUUGCUACUGUUGUUAAAUGCAAUUGAAAUGAAUCGAAUUGUUUGCUCUUGAGACAGCGAACUGACAACGUUGAUAAAAGAAAUUAACAACAAAAGCAUUAAUUAACAUUCAACUGAAAAGUUUGAUGAACAACAAAACCAAUAUAAACAAACAAUUUUCAAUGCCCUGCGAAGAACGCGAAUAGAGAAACAUUAUAACUAUAUAUAUAUAUAUAUUUAUAUAUAUAUAUAUACAUGAAAUAUGCUCUUUC